UGAUCGCAACUCACAAUGCCUGAACGCCGGCUGCGGGUAGCAGCGUCCUGUGGUCCAAAACGGAAUGAAUAAGGCUAAAGGAUUCCAGAAGGGCAGCCUUAUAAAGGUAGGAUUUUUCCUGUUCUAAGCAUGACUUGUUGCAUUUAUUUUGUGUAUUUAGCAGUGGGGGAAAAGUGAAUAGUGUAUAAAGUGACUAAAAUAAGAAUCAACGAAUAAUUUUAGCCGAUCUUCGUAUUGUAGUUCUAACUGAGUUGUGGUUAACUCUUUCAGCGUUAAUCUUUGUGGCGUAAUAGACUGGCAGCAGUAAUUCUUGGAAUGGUCAUCAGCAGUUCACUCCAUAUGAAUUGUUAUGGCCAUGAAUUCAUAGCCAUACUAAUUUAGUGAAGUGAACAGUUUUCCUCCGCGAGGAAGUACUGCAGCCAGUCAUUAUGUUUCCAAUGAACAUGUCUUGGAGGUUGAUCAUACCCCAUUUAGUAUUGCGUGAAGAUCAGGUUUUUGGUUUUCAAAGGAAGGUGAGUAAUCGUUACAGAAGUGUACGUUUAUGUAAUAAUUAGAUACUCUCAGAUGAUUAAUCGUAAGUCAUCUUUGAUUAUCUAGCUAAUUAUUGAACAAACACACUUUAUGAGUAUACUUUGGCGGGUAUACUAAUCUCAUUGAUUGUCCACAGAUGACUGGAUUCAAGUCUACCCUAAUCCUGGUGAUCUCAACUUUCAAUUGAACUAGUGUUUGGAAUAUCUCACCGGUCCCGCUUGCCAGUGGUCCACGAACGUGUACGAGUACAGUUGGCGAUCCUCAGCCGACAACUCUCCCCAACCAUGACGAUUAAGAACGACAUGAUCUUCACGCAAAUAGAGG